rnacentral:sRNA from 1 species
AAUUGUGCAGAAAAUUGACGAUCAGUGCUGUGACCACCACAAACACCACACAUUAACAACAACAACAGCAACAACGGUAUACAAACAACAGUUCCCGCUCAAUAUAGUGCAAAUUAAAAGUGGGAGAUUCGAGAGAUUUAACCGAAAGCCGCAAAAAGAAAAACUUGUUGGCUGUGCUCUCUAUUCAAACUCAACAAAUAGAAUAACUGACUGUGUGUGUGUGCGCGUCUGCUCUAUAUAUACAAUACAAAUCAAAUAUACAUACAUUCACAUUAGUGUUACAUAUACACGUGAGCCAAAACGAACAGAGACUGUAAUCGUGUAACCGUAACCAAUAACGUCACUCCAACUGUAACGGUCAACCAACAGCAUUCGCGCGACUCUCUUUGCACGACGAAGAAAAAGUAAACGGCAAAUAAAGAAGCGCGUUCUAACGACUCGAUCGUUACGUUGUAAACGCCAUCUAGCGUCAUUUCGCGAACAUUCGGCGUGCGUUGUCCUUGUUUAGUUUCGGCCGUAGUGCAAAAGUGAUUUCUCUGCCUCCUUAUCGCGCUCUCUCUCUACCACGAGCAUUCGUCUACGUGUCUCGCAGCACACAUCGCGAUCUGCAUCUUGAGAAUUCGGAUAAGAAUUAUUAAAGCACGACUUAUCGCUCAAUCCAGCAGCAAUAAAUAGGGCAAACAUUUAGAACAGAGGACGCAGUGAGAGAAAAAAAAGGCGCAUUCACGAAAUACAUCGUCCGUCAGAGCCAGUGAAA